rfam:Schistosoma margrebowiei strain Zambia genome assembly, scaffold: SMRZ_scaffold0000294
GCAUUGCUGAGGAGUUCGACAAUAGAACGAAACGGCCGUCCUAUGC